rnacentral:lncRNA from 1 species
GCCUUAGAAGACCGAAUCUUGAUUUGUCAACUAUGGGCCAUCGCAUUCGGGACUUGCUAAAUUUUUUGAACCCAAGUUUUAGUUUUAUUUUCAAGUGGGCUCCACGCUGUUGUAAUAAAGCCGCUGAUCAGCUUUGUAGUUGGGCUAUGCUUGAAAAUUGUACUGAAACUUUCGAUAUGGAUUACCUGAAGGAAAGCCAUAAUACUGUUUUAAAUGAUGCUAUUAACUAAAUGAAGUUUGACCCUCGGGUCUUUUUAUCAAAAAAAAAAAAGAAUGUUGCCUGGUACCCCAUCAAAAAAAAAGAAUGUCCCCUGGUAGCGGUAGCAAGCAAUGCGCGCGUUUUCUAUUUUUCUCCAAGAUUUGGACGAUUUCGGUUCUUGAAUUUUUUGUUGUGUGUCUGCCUUAUUCGUUUUGGAUAUUAUGGUAGUAAAGGGGGCUAGUGGGCGAUGGCGAAACCAUAGACAUUAGACGGGACCAUUGGGGUAUGGAAGGCAUCAUGGGUGAGUCGGUGUGUCGGAUCCCUUUCAAGGACAAUGAAAGAAAAGUCAAGGAUCUAUGUGACAACAGAAAUAGGCGGUGGAAAAGAGAGAGGGUUAAGGAGAUUUAUGGUGACUCUUUGGGGGAUUGCAUAUGUAAUUUGACCAUUCCCCAUAAUGGGGUCAAAGACACCAGAACGUGGUUACAAAACCCGCAUAGGACCUACACAACCAAGUCGACAUACUCAUGGAUGAUUCUUAAGAAAGUCGGCUUUGACCCCCAUAGAUUUUUGUGGCGCGCUAUUUGGAAACUCAAAAUGAUCCUAAAGAUCAAAAUCUUUAGCUGGAGAAUUGGUCAUAAUAUUCUGCCAACUUUUGACAAUAUAGCUCCCAUUCGUCAGUGUUUUAAUAAUUCUUGCCCGAGGUGCAAAAAUAGUGAAGAAACUCUGAUUCAUGCUAUGAAAGACUGUCCUAAGGCGCGUGAAAUCCUUGUUUCUGGGGGUUUAAAUAACAGUCUGCUCGACAGGAAUUUCACAAAUUGUAUCGACUAGCUUGAGGAUAUUUUUCGGGAGCUUGACAAAAAGGCUGCUGAUGAUUUUUUAACCCUGCUCUGGAACAGUUGGAACGACAGAAAUAAUAUGGUGUUUAAAGGGAAGAUGAAUGCUGCGGAGAUGAUAUGGGAAAGGGCGCAAACGUUAAGCAAAGAUUUCAGAAUUUUCAAUCUUACUAAGCCUGCGGUCAUGUCAACUAAUUUGGUGAAGAAGAAUUGGAAAAAAACCCCCUGAUGGCAGUAUUAAAAUUAACGUGGUUGCUACUGUUUUAAAUGGUUGCAGAGGAGUGGGAGCGAUCGCGAGAGAUCACAAUGGCCUUGUGAUAGGGGCUGCUAUACUUUCAAGGAAAAGGCUAUGGAUGUUAUCUGGGCAUUGUUGGAGGCGUUAAAGAAGGGUUAAAGCUGGCUGAACGGUUAAAGGUGGGUAGAUUAAUUGUGGAGUCGGAUAGUGCCAUGCUGGUCAACGCGGUCAAAAAAAGAAGGAUGGAUAUUACCAUUUUGGGCCAGUGCGUUAGAAGAGAAUGUGACGCUUUCAACAAAUUUGAAUCAGUCCAAGUAAUUUGGAUUAAUCGCAAUAGAAACUACGCUGCAGAUUUUUUAUGUAAAAUAGUGAUUAGGAAUAAAAAUGAUUUGUAUUUCGAUAUGGAGUAUCCGUCGGAUAUCCAUAACAUUAUUAUUCAUGAUGCUAUUAAUUGAGGUUGACCCUUUGGGUCGUUUUUGAUAAAAAAAGAAUGUCGCCUAGUAGGGUUGCCUGGUAGAAGCAGCGAGCGAGAGUAGCAUGCGCGCGUUUUCUGUUUUUUCUCCAAGAUUUGGACGAUUUCGGUUCUUGAAAUUUUGUUGUGUGUCUACCUUAUUCGCUUUGAAUAUUAUGGAAGUAAAGGCGGUUUGAUUGUGUGAUUUCUUUUGGUGUUGUUUCUUACGUCUUUGUUUAGUUGUUUCUGUUUAGGGGUGCGUCUGAGUUGUUGGUGAUUGGUGUCAGACGGUGUUUGUUCGGUGACAAGACUAUUGCGCUGUUUUGGUGCAUCGGGGUUCGUGUACUGGGGUUGCCUGUUGUUUCCUGGUUGUGCUUUUUCCUUUCUCAGUGGUAGAGGGUUUUUUGGACUACUGGAUAGUACGUGUUGCGUGUGGGGCCCGUCUGUCUUCUUCCUUUAGUUUUUUUGGUUUAUUUUAUUAUUUUCUCCAUUAUUCUCUAUUUCCAUUGAUUGCUUGGGUGCUUUUACGUUGGUUUGCAUUGCUUUUUGUUUGGUUUUGUAUGGUUUUACGAUUCUCUCGUGAGAUUUAACUGGUUGCCACCAUGGUCCUCACGGAGGUUUCUGAUUUUAUGUUCUUUGGCUUUCCUUUUUCGUAUGUUUCUUGGGUGUUGUUUGCAUGAAUUUUACGACUUUUUCUUUUCUUGGUUGUUUGUGGUCCCCACGGUGGUCAGGUCUUUGACCCGGGUGAAGCUAAUCACCUUUUUUACGUGUUCUCUUGCAUGUUCUGUGGUUUUUCUUUUAUUUCUCCUUUUUUUUUACGUUUUCUGCAUGGUUUCUUGCAUGUAGGGUUUUCUGCGCUACACGAAUCUUGCUUAGGCGGGGGACUGGACUUUUCUUUUCGUGGGUUGGCUCCUUUUUCCUGUUCUCUGAUUGUGUAGGAUUAGGCCCUCACUGGAUCUGUUAGUUUUGGUAAAUUUUCCAUUGGUUUGUUCGUUUCUUGCUCCCUGUGUGUUCGUGGGUUGGCUGUGUUGUUACCUGGUUUGGCUGUCUUUUCUCUGCUCUCUUCGCCGUUUGUGUUUGUCUUUUUUCGAGUGUGUCUAGCUUUGGCCUUUUUUUGGUUCUUGGUUGUCUUGAUAGGUACCUAUUGGGCGACAUAUGGAAGAAAGACAAGAUACUAACUUGAGAACAAUGAUGGAUGAGAUCAAUGAACUUCUAGAGAAGCUGAAAUUCUCAGAAGAAGAGACCACUCGGGUUGUUAGUACAAGUGAAGUUAACAAUGCCCGUGGCUUUGAGUCAUGGGAGAUCGGUAGAAUCAUGGCGAUCGAACCACCGAACAUGGAGGCAAUGUAUAGGGUUUUCAAAUCGCUAUGGUUUACAAAAGCGGAGGUGGAUUUUGUAGCGCUAAAAGAGGGGCCCGUCAUUGUUAAAUUUGGAUGCAUUGAGGAUAGUAGUCAUAUUCUAAAUCUCUCGCCCUGGCUGUUUGAUCGUUGCCUAUUCUCCAUGGUGCCAUUUGAAAAAGGAAAAGAAAUUGACUUGUAUGAGUUUUAGAUGUCACCUUCUGGCUGAGGGUUUACAAUAUCCCUAUUAAACUAAUGGAUCGUCAGACGGCUCUGGAUAUUGGCAAUGCUAUAGGAGAGCUGGUCCUAUUGAUUGGAAGGACCGGAAUAGAGGAUGGAUGGAGUUCAUGAGACUAAAAGCUAAGAUCAAUGCGUUAAAACCGUGGAGAAGAAUUGUGAAACUUGUUGAUAAGGAUGGGUUAGAAAUGAUAGGGUUGCUAAAGUAUGAGAGACUCCCGAAUUUUUGCUACGAGUGUGGAAUUAUAGGACAUAAUGCUAAAAAGUGUUCUUUUAUCAAAGGGGACGAUGAAUUGAAUGGUCUAAGCUCUCAGUACGGGAGCUGGAUGAGGGCACCCAUCGGGACCCAAAACCAAAACAGAGGUUUGAGAAGAAAUGGGGUGGAGUUAGUGAUGGCUACGGCCAGAAUAAGUGUGGAAAAAAACGAGUGUCAGACAAAUUCGAGGGGUGAAAGUGAGCAGACUGCACAAAAAAGGAAAGAAAAGGGUGGAGAAGAGGGCUCCAUAUCCAACUCUCCUCUGGAAAGGAAGUACCAUAGGACUAUGAGGGAUGGAAUGGGAAGAUUCAAGAGCAAACGAAAAAGACAGAGGGGUCCUAAUGGAGAGAAUAUGGAUGACAGCCCGACCAGGCUUGUUAAGAGAAAACUUUUAGAUUCUGUUUCACCUUUGAAGGAGGUGGCUGGUGACCAGCCCCGCUAUGAGCAAUGAAAUUUUUUUGCUGGAACUGUCGUGGGGUUGGAAACCCUGCCACAGUUCGUGAGUUAAAGCAACUCCUUGUUGCUAAUGAUCCGGAUAUUGUUUUUCUUUGUGAGACAAAAAUUCAUUCUAAUGCGUUUUCUCGUAUUCGCUCAACAUACAGGAUAGACGGGUGUCUUGCUGUUUGUUCGGAGGGGAGGAGUGGCGAGUUGCCUCUGAUGUGGAGGGAAGGUGUGAGGGUCACGGUGCAGAAUUAUUCCAAAUAUCACAUUGAUGCUUCUGUCAGUAUGGAGGAUGGUGAGAAUCUUAGGUUCACGGGAUUCUAUGGUCAAGCUGACCCGCACUUAAGACAAAAUGCUUGGGAUAUGUUGAGAAGGGUUAAAAGUAGGAAUAAUGAAAAAUGGACUGUGGGGGGGGGGAUUUUAACGACAUUUUGAACGAUGCCGAAAAGGAAGGUGGCCGUAGAAAACCUAAAACCCUCAUGGAUGAGUUCGCUAACUUCCUCGAUGAGCUGAACCUGUUCGAUGUUAAAACCUGUAAUGGGUGGUUCACGAGGACCAAGAACAGAGAGGGCAAGGGUUUGGUGAAGGAGAGGUUGGUGAAGGAGAAGCUUGAUAGAUUUAUCGUUUCUGAUGCAGUUGUGGAAAGCUUACCAUUUCUUACUUCCUAUAUUGUUAGAUAAUCUAAAUCUGACCAUGAAGCUAACCUUAUGGACACGGACGGGAGCAAGCCAAACGAUAAGAGUACUGACCAGAGGGGUGGUUUAGGUACGACCAUUGUUGGGUGGAGGAGAAGGGUGCUAGAGACUAUUUCUGGGAUUUGGUCGAACAGGGAGAGGGACACGCUGGAGAAGAUGGAGUCUGUUAGGGUUAAUCUAGGGUCAUGGCAAUACCACCGCUUUAGAAAUAUGAAGACUAGGAUUAAAGAAUUGGAGAAGGAGAUCAGCAAGUUAAUGGACGGGACUUUAAGUGAUCAGUCGACGAGCCUCCUUAAAAAUGCUAGAAGGAAGUUGGGCCAUAUUUAUGAUGUUGAGGAAAGGUAUUGGGCUACUAGGGUUCGUUCCCAAUGGCUUAAUGACGGGGACAGAAAUACCCAUUAUUUCCAUGUUCGGGCUUCGGGCCGCAAAAAGAAAAAUUACAUUGAGAGGCUGAAAGAUAAAAAUGGCAACUGGCAUGAGGACAAUAAGGAGAUCUGCCAUAUUGCGUCGAAUUAAUUUAAUGAGCUUUUCAAGACUUCGAUAAACAUGGAUGAUGAUUGUGAUCUUCAGGCUGUGCCCGAGUGUAUUAAUGAUGAGAUUAAUAGGAAGUUGAACAGGGAGUUCACAAAUGAGGAGAUCCUGAGAGCCUUCAACUAGAUGGACCCUCGCAAGGCUCCUGGCAUUGAUAGUUUGUCAGGGAGUUUUUUCAAGGAUCACUGGCCGAGUGUGGGGGAUGAUGUUCUUCUCCUAUGUCACGAUAUUCUGCAAGGCAAAAGGAGUGCUGCAUGUGUUAAUGAGACAUUUAUUGUGUUAAUCCCAAAGAUUAAAAACCACUGCGAGGUGGUCUACAAGAUCGUGGCUAAGACCCUUGCAAAUCGGCUUAAGGAGGUCAUUCACUGGUGUAUUAGUCACAAUCAAAGUGCCUUUGUUCCCAACAGAAUGAUCCAUGACAAUGUCUCAGUAGCCCACGAGCUCAUGCACUACCUUCGUAGUUCCAAAAAUGGCCCGAAUAAGGGUUGUGUGGUUAAGCUCGACAUGAGCAAGGCUUAUGACCAGGUCGAUUGGCGUUUCCUGGAAAAAUUUUUGCUUAAAAUGGGCUUCUCUAAUGCUUGGGUGUUUAAAAUUAUGGAUUGUGUUUGCUCUGUUCGGUAUAGAGUUAAAUGUAAUAAAACUCUGUCCGAGGUUAUUUCUCCAAAAAGGGGGCUUCGUCAGGGGGACCCGUUAUCCCCCUAUUUUUUUUUGUUUUGCAUGGAUGCCUUCUCUCGUAUGCUUUUUCAAGCUCAAGGUCUUGAUAAACUGAAAGGCAUUAGGGCUAGUAAGGAUGGCCCGAGAAUUAAUCAUCUUUUUUUUGCUGACGAUGCUCUUUUAUUUGUUAGGAAUAAGAAAAGCGAGGUGCUGGAGUUCACAAAGAUCCUGGAGGCGUUGAAGAGGAUGUCUGGUCAACAGGUCAAUUUGGAAAAGUUCAUGGUUUAUUUUAGUCCAAAUACUAAUACUGCUAGCCGUGCUAUGAUUGGGGGGCAUCUCAAGAUGAAGGUUGUGGCACAUUUCCAUGGUUACCUUGGGUUGCGCCUUUCGAUGGGGAAAAAUAAGCCUCGGGCCUUCAAAAGCAUUCUUGAUCGGGUCGCCAUUAGGAUCAACAGCUGGUCUAAGAGACUCUUAUCUAAUGGUGGUAAGGAGAUUUUCAUUAAAUCGAUUCUUCAGUCGAUUCCGACGUACGUCUUUUUGGUUCCUAUGGGUGUUUUAGAUGAGAUCCAAGCUAUGAUCGGCCAUGUGUGGUGGGGGGCAAAAACAUGAACAAAGGCUGGCAUAUGUUAGCUUGGGAUAGUAUGUGUUACCCUAAAGGCAUGGGGGGUUCGGCUUUAGGGCUCUCCGUCGUUUUAAUGUGGCGUUAUUGGGUAGACAAGUGUGGCGCCUCAUGAAUUGCAGGGAUACGCUUUGUUAUAAAGUCCUCAGUGCUAAAUAUUUCUCGGAGGGGGAUGUUUUGCGUCCUAAAAGGAGUGAUAAGCCUUCUUUCAUGUGGACGAGCAUUGUGCAGGCGGCAAGUGUUUUGUAUGAUGGCUUUGGCUGGAAUGUGAGUGACAGGAGGAAGAUUGAUUUUUGGAAUGAGAAUUGGGGUUAUGAGGGUUUAUCAGGUGACUCUAUUUGUCUUCCUAGGUGGGAGGUCCAGGAGAAUAGAGUUUGCAAGCUGCUGAAUGAGGAGAAAGAUGGCUGGAAUAAGAAGAGGGUGAGGGAGAUUUAUGUUGAUUUCGUGGGGGACCAAGUCUUUAAUAUUCCCAUUCUCUAUGAUGGCCCGAACGAUUCUCGUAUUUGGUUCCAUAGCCUAUUGGGUAAUUAUUCCACUAAGUCUGCUUAUUUGUGGUUGACUCUUAGGCAUGUAUGGUUGGGGCCUCACCGGUUCUUUUGGAAGAUGGUGUGGAGGCUGCAAACGUUGCCAAAGAUUAGAAUUUUCUGCUGGCGUAUUGGGCAUAAUAUUCUCCCCACAUUUGAAAAAAUUUCCACUAUCAGAAGGGACUUCAACAGUGACUGUCCGAGGUGUAGAAGGGACAAAGAGACCAUUAUUCACGCAUUGAAAGAUUGCCCUAAGGCUCGGGCGGUGUUGGUGCAUGGGGGUCUGAACAGUAAUCUGCUGGAUGGCAGCCACUGUCAGGGCGUGGACUGGAUCGAAGAGGUGGCCCGCUCGCUGGAUGUUAAGGCUCUUUCGGACUUCGUUACUAUUCUUUGGAAUAUCUGGAACAGCAGGAAUAACAAAUAUUUUGGGAAUAUGGAGGACGCCAAAGUGACGUGGGAGAGGGCUACCACUUUAAGCCAUGAUUUCCGCAUCUUUAAUCUGCUGAAGGAGCCGUCUUUGCCAAAGCCUACUGUGAAAAAAGGGUGGCGGAAGCCGAACCAAGGGAUGGUUAAAAUUAACUUUGAUGCUGCUGUAAAAGAUCGGAAAACUAGCUUUGGAAUUAUUGCUAGAGACCACGAUGGCUUUGUACUAGGGGGCGUGCUGGGGUGUUAAACAGGAACUAUAAUGCGGAAUGGACGGAGCUGUACGCAUUGGAAGAGAGCAUUAAUUUGCUAGGGAUAAUUCGUGGGCCAGGGUGGAAUUUGAGUCUGAUUGUGCCAGUUUGGUUAACCGCCUUAGAAGACCGAAUGUUGACUUGUCAACUAUGGGCCAUUGCAUUCGGGAUUUGCUUAAUUUUUUGAACCCGAACAUUAGUUUUAUUUUUAAGUGGGCUCCCCGCUGUUGUAAUAAAGCUGCUGAUCAGCUUUGUAGUUGGGCUAUGUUUAAUAAUUGUACUGAAACUUUUGAUAUGGAUUAUCCUAAGGAAAUCCAUAAUAUUAUUUUAAAUGAUGCUAUUAAUUGAGGUGGCCUUUGGGCCUUUUCUUUCAAAAAAAAAAAAGAAUCUCGCCUGGUAGCGCAUUGACCAAGUUUUUUUAGCUCUUUAGGGGGAGGUGAUAUUGAGCGACCAGGGGUUGUCCAGGGCACUGCCCACACCCACCGCAUGCCCGAACAUCGGUGCCCCUCACCACCAGUUAGGUUCCCUGUGAUCCAUCCCGGCGGUGCUCCAGCGAACCGUCCCGGUGGUGCUCUGGCGAACCAUUCCGGCAGCAUAGGCCCUUGGUCGUACGGGAGCCUUGGGCACCAUCGGCACCUUGGUGCUAGGAUGUGCGGGAGCCUCGCACACCAUUGGCAACCUAGGCCCUUGGUCGUGAGAGAGCCUCGGGCACCAUCAGUACCUAGGUGCUCGGAGGAGUGGGAGCCUCGCACACCAUCGCCAAACUAGGCCUUUGGUCGUGCAGGAGCCUCGGGCACCAUCGGCAAUCUAGGCCCUUGGUCGUGCGAGAGCCUCGUGCACCAUCGGCACCUGGGCACUCGGAUGUGCUGGAGCCUCAGACACCAUCGGCAACCUAGGCCCUUGGUCGUGCAAAAGCCUCGGGCACCGUCGGCACCUAGGCGCUUGAAUGUGUAGGAGCCUCGGGUACCAUCGACAAACUAGGCCCCCCGUCGUACGUGAGCGUCGGGCACGAUUGGCACCUGGGCGCUCAGAUGUGCAGGAGCGUCGGACACCAUCGACAAACUAGGCCCUUGGUCUUGCGAGAGCCUCAGGCACCAUCGGCACCUCGGUGCUAUGACCUGCGGGAGCCUCGGACAAUGUCGGUAUCCAAGGCCCUUGGUCGUGUGGGAGCCUCGAGAACCAUCGACACCUUGGAGCUUAGAUGUACAGGAACCUCGGACAACAUCGGUAACCUAGGCCCUUGGUCGUGCGAGAGCCUCGGGCACCAUCGGCACCUAGGGGCUCAGACACAAUCGGCAAACUAUGCCCUUGGUCGUGCAGGAGCCUCGAGCACCAUCGGCAGAAUAGGCCAUUUGUUUUACGGGAGCCUCGGGCACCAUCGGCACCUUGGUGGCUCAGAUGUGCAGGAGCCUCAAGCAGCAUAGGCACCUUGGUGGCUCGAAAGUGCGGGAGCCUCAGACACCAUCAGCAACCUUGGUGCUUGGAUGUGUGGGAGCCUCGAGCACCAUCGGCACCUUGGUUCUUGGGACGUGCCGGGUAAAGAAAAGUGUCCCCGUUUCAGACAGUCGAAUGUUUCCUGGUAGCACAUUGACGAAAUUUCUUUAGCUCUUUAAGGGGUAGAGAUCUGUUGCCCCCCGACGUGCCCCCCCUCCGAGCUGAGGUUGGGUGCGUCUCGCCCCCCAUGGGGGUUGGGUCGUCCCACAAUGACUCAUCAACGGUGGUGAGUCGGUCGCUGGCGGUAGUGGCCGAGGUAAUGAUUUUCCGGCCGGCCAAGCCCGUUCCCAUAGAAAUGUUGCUAACGACUCCAGGACCAAGUUACCUAUAUCGGGCAAAGAUCUUUUGGGGUGGCAUAUGCAUUGUUAUGGGCUCGAGCUUGGCUUGCCCGUCCACCCCCGUCACGUUUAGGGAUGCCUUGUGCAUCCCAAGUCAGCAACCACACGGUGCCUUGGCCUUGCCAAGCCCUUGCCCGCAUUCGAAGCUGCUCGUGACCCCAGUACCAAGUCCCUUUGACGGCAACGGCUCAUUGGGGGGUGUAAGUUGAGAUUGUAGGCUCGGUCUUGGCUCGACGGUGCACUGGUGCUCGAUCGUGCUUUCGGAUGCAGAAAAUAUUUUUGAGAGUAGGGUUCAGGCCCUUAUCUCUCGAUGGCUAUGCAUUUUGUCUCGUCACACAGACGAUGCUCGUGCUUUGUUAUGACCUCUUCAUUGCUCAUGCGGCAUGUUGAGGGCCAUGCAGUGCCGACAUCGUGGAGGAAUGUUACCUGGUUGAUCCUGCCAGUAGUCAUAUGCUUGUCUUAAAGAUUAAGCCAUGCAUGUG